CAGCAGCCGCGGUAAUACGUAGGGCGCAAGCGUUAUCCGGAAUUAUUGGGCGUAAAGAGCUCGUAGGCGGUUUGUCGCGUCUGCCGUGAAAGUCCGGGGCUCAACCCCGGAUCUGCGGUGGGUACGGGCGGACUAGAGUGAUGUAGGGGAGACUGGAAUUCCUGGUGUAGCGGUGAAAUGCGCAGAUAUCAGGAGGAACACCGAUGGCGAAGGCAGGUCUCUGGGCAUUAACUGACGCUGAGGAGCGAAAGCAUGGGGAGCGAACAGGAUUAGAUACCCCCGUAGUCCCUGUCUCUUAUAC
rnacentral:rRNA from 1 species